CAGAGCGAACAGAUUUUUUGGAUGAUGUUCACAAACAGCUUUUUAAUUUAAUGUCCCAAGAAAUGGAAUUUAUACCAAAGGAUCCUUCCUAUUACAACCCUUAUAAGAAGACAACCCCUGAGUUCCAAGAGAAGAAAGCUGAACCAAAGAAAAAGAAA